rnacentral:rRNA from 1 species
GGGAAUAUUGGACAAUGGGCGAAAGCCUGAUCCAGCCAUGCCGCGUGAGUGAUGAAGGCCUUAGGGUUGUAAAGCUCUUUCGCCGACGAAGAUAAUGACGGUAGUCGGAGAAGAAGCCCCGGCUAACUUCGUGCCAGCAGCCGCGGUAAUACGAAGGGGGCUAGCGUUGCUCGGAAUCACUGGGCGUAAAGGGUGCGUAGGCGGGUU